AUUGAACGCUGGCGGCAAGCCUCAUACAUGCAAGUCGAACGAGAAAGCAUCUUCGGAUGUGAGUAAAGUGGCGGACGGGUGAGUAAUACAUAGGAAUCUACCCAAUGGCGGGGGACAGCUCGAGGAAACUCGAAUUAAUACCGCAUAAUCUCUACGGAGUAAAGGGGGCUUCGGCUCUCGCCAUCGGAUGAGCCUAUGCAGGAUUAGCUUGUUGGUGAGGUAAUGGCUCACCAAGGCGACGAUCCUUAGCUGGUUUGAGAGGAUGACCAGCCACAUCGGGACUGAGACACGGCCCGGACUUCUACGGAAGGCAGCAGUAGGGAAUAUUGGACAAUGAGCGAAAGCUUGAUCCAGCCAUGCCGCGUGUGCGAUGACGGCCUUAGGGUUGUAAAGCACUUUAGGUAACGAGGAAAAGUUAGGUGUUAAUACCAUCUAACCUUGACGUUAAUUACAGAAUAAGCACCGGCUAAAUCCGUGCCAGCAGCCGCGGUAACAC
rnacentral:rRNA from 1 species